rnacentral:rRNA from 1 species
UACAGAGGUCCCAAGCGUUGUUCGGAUUCAUUGGGCGUAAAGGGUGCGUAGGCGGCGCGGUAAGUCGGGUGUGAAAUCUCGGGGCUUAACUCCGAAACUGCAUUCGAUACUGCCGUGCUUGAGGACUGGAGAGGAGACUGGAAUUUACGGUGUAGCGGUGAAAUGCGUAGAUAUCGUAAGGAAGACCAGUGGCGAAGGCGGGUCUCUGGACAGUUCCUGACGCUGAGGCACGAAGGCCAGGGGAGCAAAUGGG